ensembl:misc_RNA Y_RNA Y RNA
GGCUUGUCCAAAGGUAAUGAGUUAUCUCAGUUGAUUGUACACAAUCAGUUAUAGAUCAAACUCCUUGUUUCCAACUCCUUGUUCUACUCUUCCCCACUUCCCCCUUCUCACUACUGUGCUAGACUAGCCUGAA